rnacentral:rRNA from 1 species
GAUCAUGGCUCAGGAUGAACGCUGGCGGCGUGCUUAACACAUGCAAGUCGAGCGAGAAGUUUUGAAAAGAUUCUUCGGAUGAAAUUUAAAAUGGAAAGCGGCGGACGGGUGAGUAACGCGUAGGCAACCUGCCCCAUACAAAGGGAUAGCAUUUGGAAACGAAUAUUAAUACCUUAUGAAACUUAACUAGUGCAUGCUAGGUAGGUCAAAGAUUUAUCGGUAUGGGAUGGGCCUGCGUCUGAUUAG